rnacentral:rRNA from 1 species
AUUGAACGCUGGCGGCAGGCCUAACACAUGCAAGUCGAACGAGUGGCGGACUGGUGAGUAAUGUCUGGGAAACUGCCUGAUGGAGGGGGAUAACUACUGGAAACGGUAGCUAAUCCCGCAUACCAUCAGAUGUGCCCAGAGGGGAGUAGCUUGUUGGUGGGGUAACGGCUCACCAAGGCGACGAUCCCUAGCUGGUCUGAGAGGAUGACCAGGCACACUGGAACGGAGACACGGUCCAGACGCCUACGGGAGGCAGCAGUGGGGAAUAUUGCACAAUGGGCGAAAGCCUGAUGCAGCCAUGCCGCGUGUAUGAAGAAGGUAUUCGGGUUGUAAAGCACUUUCAGCGGGGAGGCGUUACCCGCAGAAGAAGCACCGGCUAACUCCGUGCCAGCAGCCGCGGUAAUUC